rnacentral:misc_RNA from 2 species
AAUUCUCAACCUAUAAAUCCUUGUGGUUUUUAGGCUUGGACUUGGAGGCUUUUGCUGGCUUUACCGUCGGCUCCUCUUAAAUGCAUUAGCUUGAUUCCUUGCGGAUCGGCUCUCAGUGUGAUAAUUAUCUGCGCUGUGACCGUGAAGCGUUUGGCGAGCUUCUAACCGUCUCUUUGAGACAAACACUUUGAC